GCUUUCCAAAGUUUCAAUCAACAUCAGACAGAACUUUUUGGGCAUGCUUACAACAUGGUGGCUGGUUCUGCCAGAGUACCUGACUGAUGACACCAAAGGGGACAUACCACAAAGCAACACUGAACUACAGAACAUAGGUCUGCAGAGCAGAAGCCUGGUGUGCUGGCUUUCUGUGGCUUUGUCCCCGACACUGUGGUCUUCAGCCGUGUCCAUGGAUGGCUGUCAAUCAGCGUUCCUCAUCUGGGGUCCAGGGGCUUCUGCAGCUGGGUGAUGCCUGGCUGGCCAGCUGUCCCUGGGAGACUCCUCGGUCACCAUUAAGUAUCUGGACUCCUUUGGAAGCCGCCAUGAAGAACGCGAGGAGCAUGUAUCAGGAAGCACUGCUGCGAGGAUUAAAUGAUAUUCGCACCUCCGCCUGACUCUCCAUCUUCAUGUGGAACGUGCACCUUUCCUUUCCGGGGGUCAGUGACUUCCCAUGGCUUUGAUUCAGUUGCCCAAUAAAAGCCUCCUGCUACUCACUGCCUGCUUCCAGAGUGACACGCCUCCACGGGUCAGGAAGAGCUUGUAUUUUAGACCCAGAGUUGCACUAUGUAGUUCAGGCUGGCCUUCAACUUGUGAGGCUUCUCCUGCCUCAGCCUCCUGAGUGCUGGGAUGACAGGCGUGCACCACCAACCCUGCCAGUGCCUGUGCUUUGUGGAUGGAGCAGCCUGAGUUGGUGGGAGCAGUUACCUGCAUGGCUGGCGUCCCUUUCUGCAGAUCUUGCAGCUGAGUCCCUCUUUGACCUGGAUGUGGGUUCUUCCCAGCAGCUGUCUUCCACCGGUCUCCCUUGCACCUCAGAUGCUUAUGACAGAGACACCCAGCCAGCCAAGCCCCAGUGGUGAUAGGUGAAGUCACAGGGAAGGGAGGCUGAGGCAGGAGGAUCCCAAGUUUGAGCCCAGGCUUGGCAACUGAGCAACAGAACGCGUAAAAACUACAAGAAGUAGAAGAAGGCAAAGAGGAAAUGCAAAAAGGAAAAGAACAAUUUUUUUCCAAAACAACUCUGAGAUUCCAGCUCUGUUCAGAAAGAAUGACUAUUACUAAAAUAUCAACCAACAACAAAUGCUGGGCGGGCUAUGGGGAAAAAGGAACCCUUCUCCACUGCUAGUGGGAGGGUAGACUGGUGCAAACCCUGUGGAAAUCAGUGUGGAGAGUCCUCAGAAAACUAGGACUGGAGGUGCCAUUUGACCCAGCCAUUUCCCUUCUGGGUAUUUCCCUAGAAGAAUAAAAGCAUUAUAUCAC
rnacentral:lncRNA from 1 species